rnacentral:lncRNA from 1 species
AAAUGAAGAACAGGAUCUGAGUGAGGACUGGCACUGUGCAGCGAGACAAGCAAAGAGGGAGAGCGAGGGAGCGAGAAAGGGUGGCAUUCCAAAGUGGUGGCUGUUGGACAAUUUAGCAGCAUUUCAUAACAAUUUCCCAAAAUGGAAUCAUAAGAUGAUCUUCAAAUGCCAACGUUCCCCAUCAAAACCUGUCGCACCGACCCAUGCCGUUUUCUUCAUGUUCCGUAGUAAGUGGACAGUCAUGCUGACUUAAAUUGAAAUGAUAUGUAAUUUACUGGUGAACUAGAAGGUUCUACAUUGUCAAGAGCAACUUAAGCACCACACAACAGUGGCACUGGAGACAUAGCAACUGGACCAGGAGGCUGGGAUGCCAACAUAGGAAACUGAGGGAUCAAACAUUUGUGUUAGUACGAGAAAAGUAGCAAAUUUUGUCAAGUACAUUUUGUAAGUGGUUUUGUUUGGCAGAACACAAGGUUCAAUAAAGCCCUGGAAAAUACCA